rnacentral:rRNA from 1 species
CCUACGAGAGGCAGCAGUGAGGAAUAUUGGUCAAUGGACUAGAGUCUGAACCAGCCAAGUAGCGUGAAGGAUGACUGCCCUAUGGGUUGUAAACUUCUUUUAUAUGGGAAUAAAAUGUUCCACGUGUGGGCUUCUGUAUGUACCCUAUGAAUAAGGCUCGGCUAACGCCGUUCCAGCAGCCGCGGUUAUUCGGAGGAUCCGGGCGUUAUCCGGAUUUCUUUGGGUUAAAGGGAGCGUAGGUGGAUUUUUAAGUUAGUUGUGAAAGUUUGCGGCUCAACCGUAAAAUUGUAGUUGAAACUGGCAGUCUUGAGUACAGUAGAGGUAGGCGGAAUUCGUGGUGUAGCGGUGAAAUGCUUAGAUAUCACGAAGAACUCCGAUUGCGAAGGCAGCUCACUGGACUGCAACUGACACUGAGGCUCGAAAGUGUGGGUAUCAAACAGGAUUAGAUACCCGAGUAGUC